GACGAACGCUGGCGGCGUGCUUAACACAUGCAAGUCGAACGGAAAGACCCUGCUUUUGUGGGGUGCUCGAGUGGCGAACGGGUGAGUAACACGUGAGUAACCUGCCCUUGACUUUGGGAUAACUUCAGGAAACUGGGGCUAAUACCGGAUAGGAGCUCCUGCUGCAUGGUGGGGGUUGGAAAGUUUCGGCGGUUGGGGAUGGACUCGCGGCUUAUCAGCUUGUUGGUGGGGUAGUGGCUUACCAAGGCUUUGACGGGUAGCCGGCCUGAGAGGGUGACCGGCCACAUUGGGACUGAGAUACGGCCCAGACUCCUACUGGAGGCAGCAGUGGGGAAUAUUGCACAAUGGGCGGAAGCCUGAUGCAGCAACGCCGCGUGCGGGAUGACGGCCUUCGGGUUGUAAACCGCUUUCGCCUGUGACGAAGCGUGAGUGACGGUAAUGGGUAAAGAAGCACCGGCUAACUACGUG
rnacentral:rRNA from 1 species